rnacentral:lncRNA from 1 species
ACCAUCCUUUGGCAAAUGAGCUCUGUGGGCUCUGGCUCCUGGAGUUCUGCUCUGCUUGAACAGCGCUGGGGACAGACGAGGGCGGUGCCACGUGCUGACCAUCAUCAGGAGCUCGUGGGCUGAUGAUGAGCUCUUCGGUCCUGCUGGAGCCAAGAACGGGACAGCAGAUGGUGCGUGAGCUGGCACAGCUCCCCGUGAUCUUCUGUUUGUUAUCCUCACAGGAGAGCAUUGCCCUGGGAAAAACCCAAGGGUUGGAUUCCAGGAGGGAGUUUCUCCUUGUGCAAUAACCACUGCACCUACACCGGCCACACGCGUUGCUCACACGGGGGCCACUUGUUGCUGCCACGAGUGUUUUGGGUGCAGGGGAGGUCUCCUAGGAAAUCAGGCUCUAGCUCAGCUUUCAGGGCUGCUGUCCCGUCCCCUGUUUGCUCAGUACCCAGCAAGAGAGAGCCACAACAGCAUUACUCCAGACUCACUCACUAGGAACAAGGAUAUUUCGCAAUAGAAACUUCUGUUCUGGGCUACUUAGCAACUGAUAAUGAAUAAAUCACUGCACUCAGGAGGAACUUGCAAAGCUGAUUUUAGAGCCCGAGUGGAUCUGAGUGCACAAAAGGAUCUGUGCAGGUAGAGGACGUCCAGCUCCCUGCUGCCCCAAUGAAUCCAUGGGGCAGGGAGAUGUGGAUCGCAGUCUCUGUGAGGUGGGGGGGGUCAGCUCCAGCACCCACACGUGUGGCAGUGGGAAAGGAUCGCAGUGCGCGCUUACAUGAGUUGCAAUAAUACUGUCGUCCUCUGGGUGACGUUUCAAAUGCAAAGAGUAAAAAUCUCGGUUCCUGCUGCAGCUUUCAGAGAGGCAGCCACGCGUUUGCCGGUGUUUUGUUGUCUCCGCACACGUGCACAUCGAGGAUAUAAAUAUGCAGUGCAAAUAGGUGGCUGCUGUCUCUGCUUACAUGUUGAUGCAUCUCUUCAGAUAGCCUGGCAGCGCUGGAUUAUUUUAGUGUCAAAUCAAAGCUCAGGAUGCGUAAAGAAGCUGAGGAAAGGUACGGUCUGUGUUGCAGCACGGGAUGGAAGCUGCAAGAAGAUUGGAAGCAGUCCUGUGAGACACAUACCAGCCACGCAUACUAAACCUGCCAUUUAGUACAUCGAAAAGGAACCCCAUUCAGCAGGGCUGCUGCAGAACAGAAGGAAAUGCCUUCAGAUUUAGGUUGGGGCGGGGGACUGUUCUCCUAGGAAGGUGCAUGAUUCAUUCUCACAUUAGCUAAAAGAAGAUGAAGCUUUUGUUUUCUUUUUACUCUUGGUUUCCUUGUGAGAGAAAAAUAAAAGGCCUGUUUACACUGGAAGCA